rnacentral:rRNA from 1 species
AGCGAACGCUGGCGGCAGGCCUAACACAUGCAAGUCGAGCGCCCAGCAAUGGGAGCGGCAGACGGGUGAGUAACGCGUGGGGAUCUGCCCGAUGGUACGGAAUAAUUCCGGGAAACUGGGACUAAUACCGUAUGUGCCCGCAAGGGGAAAGAUUUAUCGCCAUCGGAUGAACCCGCGUCGGAUUAGCUAGUUGGUGUGGUAAAGGCGCACCAAGGCGACGAUCCGUAGCUGGUCUGAGAGGAUGAUCAGCCACACUGGGACUGAGACACGGCCCAGACUCCUACGGGAGGCAGCAGUGGGGAAUAUUGGACAAUGGGCGCAAGCCUGAUCCAGCCAUGCCGCGUGAGUGAUGAAGGCCUUAGGGUUGUAAAGCUCUUUCGCCGGUGAAGAUAAUGACGGUAACCGGAGAAGAAGCCCCGGCUAACUUCGUGCCAGCCGCCGCAGUAAAAC